rnacentral:lncRNA from 1 species
UCUUUAGUCAAGUCAAUUUUAAUACCUUUUACUUCAGACACAAAAUAUCUUGGACUAACCCUUGCAUUUGCAUACAAUUUCCUCACUAAAUUUGGGUAAGUGGCCAAGUUCUAGGAACAAAGAUACUUCCAUCUUUGAAAUUUCAAAAGCUCCCCAAUCUCAAAAUCCUCAGUCUCCAGAAAAUCAAAGUCAAUAUUUCUUCCC